ensembl:snoRNA
AUGAAUUGGUAGUUCGUAAGUGUAACGAGUGGGUUUUCACACUCCUGUCUGAGAUGUGCCUCCCUCAAACCUCAUUAAGACCUUGGCACAUCACCCAUCUCAUG